GAUGAACGCUGGCGGCGUGCUUAACACAUGCAAGUCGAACGAACCUUCGGGUUAGUGGCGGACGGGUGAGUAACGCGUGGGAAUCUGCCCUCAGGAGGGGGAUAACGGUUGGAAACGACCGCUAAUACCCCAUAUGCCGAGAGGUGAAAUGAAUUUCGCCUGAGGAUGAGCCCGCGUCUGAUUAGCUUGUUGGUGAGGUAAUGGCUCACCAAGGCAUCGAUCAGUAGCUGGUCUGAGAGGAUGAUCAGCCACACUGGGACUGAGACACGGCCCAGACUCCUACGGGAGGCAGCAGUGGGGAAUUUUCCGCAAUGGGCGAAAGCCUGACGGAGCAACGCCGCGUGAGGGACGAAGGCCUCUGGGCUGUAAACCUCUUUUCUCAAGGAAGAAGAUAUGACGGUACUUGAGGAAUAAGCCACGGCUAAUUCCGUGCCAGCAGCCGCGGUAAUACGGGAGUGGCAAGCGUUAUCCGGAAUUAUUGGGCGUAAAGCGUCCGCAGGCGGCCCUUCAAGUCUGCUGUUAAAGCGUGGGGCUCAACUCCAUCAUGGCAGUGGAAACUGAUAGGCUUGAGUAUGGUAGGGGCAGAGGGAAUUCCCGGUGUAGCGGUGAAAUGCGUAGAUAUCGGGAAGAACACCAGUGGCGAAGGCGCUCUGCUGGGCCAUUACUGACGCUCAUGGACGAAAGCCAGGGGAGCGAAAGGGAUUAGAUACCCCUGUAGUCCUGGCCGUAAACGAUGAACACUAGGUGUCGGGGGAAUCGACCCCUUCGGUGUCGUAGCUAACGCGUUAAGUGUUCCGCCUGGGGAGUACGCACGCAAGUGUGAAACUCAAAGGAAUUGACGGGGGCCCGCACAAGCGGUGGAGUAUGUGGUUUAAUUCGAUGCAACGCGAAGAACCUUACCAGGGCUUGACAUCCUGCGAACCUUUAAGAAAUUAGAGGGUGCCUUCGGGAACGCAGUGACAGGUGGUGCAUGGCUGUCGUCAGCUCGUGUCGUGAGAUGUUGGGUUAAGUCCCGCAACGAGCGCAACCCACGUUUUUAGUUGCCAGCAUUUAGUUGGGCACUCUAGAAAGACCGCCGGUGAUAAACCGGAGGAAGGUGUGGAUGACGUCAAGUCAUCAUGCCCCUUACGUCCUGGGCUACACACGUACUACAAUGCUACGGACAAAGGGCAGCAAACUCGCGAGAGCUAGCAAAUCCCAUAAACCGUGGCUCAGUUCAGAUCGUAGGCUGCAACUCGCCUACGUGAAGUAGGAAUCGCUAGUAAUCGCAGGUCAGCAUACUGCGGUGAAUACGUUCCCGGGCCUUGUACACACCGCCCGUC
rnacentral:rRNA from 1 species